GACGUAGGGCGCGAGCGUUAUCCGGAUUUAUUGGGCGUAAAGAGCUCGUAGGCGGCUUGUUGCGUCGACCGUGAAAACCCGGGGCUCAACUUCGGGCUUGCGGUCGAUACGGGCGGGCUAGAGUUCGGUAGGGGAGACUGGAAUUCCUGGUGUAGCGGUGAAAUGCGCAGAUAUCAGGAGGAACACCGGUGGCGAAGGCGGGUCUCUGGGCCGAUACUGACGCUGAGGAGCGAAAGCGUGGGGAGCGAACAGG
rnacentral:rRNA from 1 species